GAUGUUUAAACAGAAUGCCAUUUUCAAGAAUAACCUUGAGCUCAGCUUUGAAAAGAGAAAAUCUUUCCUGUUUUCUGUGACAAAUGUGAAGAGUUAAUGCUUGGGAAGUGCUGAGAUAAAUGCUUAUUGAUGACUCAGUUAACAUCUUGGAGUGAGCAGAGUAUAAACAGCCAAAAUACGUCCUCUUUUUUUAUAGCUCAACAAGCAAGGGAAUGCAGUCAUAAAAAAGGAAAUGUAAUGAAGUGAAAUCAAAACAAACAAAAGACAAACUCUCAUUUGGUGCUGAUGACUCAUUUUCAACCUCUUUUUCAAACUGUCAUUUUAAUUUCUAGGUUGGACUCCUCACCUGCGACCACUUGUGUGACAUUUAUAAACGAAAAUGUGGGAUUUAAUUAGAAUUGUUGGAAAUAUCUGAAGUCUGCUUGUACAAUCUCCUCUGGAAACUCUGUCUGCUUCCUUCAGGUACAUCUUCUACAAAAGGCUUGGAAAGUAUUCACCUUGAGGAGGAUAGAACGUAUCUGCAAAGCAAGAACGGCAAGUCUCUUCUGCAGAGGGAACUUUAUUUUUUUCUUUUUGAAGGCAAAGGGAAAGAAGGAAAGACUUCAUUCUGCAUGAGAAUUGUUGUGAUACCCCGUCUUUGGCAUCUGUUUCUAGAACCAACCACUGCUUGUUCCUAUGAUAAUGACAAUUUUGUAUUGAUCCCUUUCCAAAAAAUAUCAGCAGAAAGAGAGGGAAUUAAAUGGAGGGUCUAAAGUCAGAAAGUUGAAGUCUUCACCAAUUAAACUCAUCAGAAGAGAGCUCUUGCACUCUCCUUAGAGGAACUAGAACUUCAUUCCACACAUUCCACAAUUACAAAGCCCUAAAAUACUACCUGUGCAACAAUGAAUUUCAUCACAUCAAGUGAAUUCUUUUAAACAGACCAGAUAUCCCAUGAAUAGGAAAAGAGAAUUUAUAACUCUGAAAUAUUACAGCUAUUAAAAAUAAAAAGACAU
rnacentral:lncRNA from 1 species